GAAAUGCGAUAAGUAAUGUGAAUUGCAGAAUUCAGUGAAUCAUCGAAUCUUUGAACGCACCUUGCGCUCCUUGGUAUUACUUGGAGCAUGCCUGUUUGAGUAUCAUGAAAUCUUCAAAGUAAAUCUUUUGUUAACUCAAUUGGUUUCUACUUUGGUAUUGGAGGUCUUUGCAGCUUCACACCUGCUCCUCUUUGUUCAUUAGCUGGAUCUCAGUGUUAUGCUUGGUUCCACUCGGCGUGAUAAGUUAUCUAUCGCUGAGGACACUGUAAAAGGUGGCCAAGGUAAAUGCAGAUGAUCCGCUUCUAAUAGUCCAUUGACUUGGACAAUACUUUUAUGAUCUGAUCUCAAAUCAGGUAGGACUACCCGCUGAACUUAAGC
rnacentral:misc_RNA from 1 species